GAUUUAGCCAGAUGAACCUCUUGCUUCCCUCUUACGAAGUUAUUAAAGGUGGGUCACUGACCUAGGUGGUUUCUGUGGAGCUGUUGAUGUGCUUCUGGGAUCAACCGUCUCAUUCUUCACAUUUGAUAUUCCCAGUAAGUAUGCAGUGCCAUUCUCACAGGCCUUUGACAAGGUGCAUUGGAUCGUUGUGUGAUGGGGAUAACAGCGGUUGAGAUUCUAAACGCUUGUGAUGAAGCUGUUCCUGCUGCUGUUGAUUCACUUAGUCAUCCAGCAGUCAACCUAAAACAAGCUAUGACGAGACGUAGUCUUGCUGCUCUUAAAAAUAUGGCCCAUCAUAAGCUACAAACCCUUGCAACUAACCUCUUGGCUUCUGAGGCAUCUGACAAGGGAAAUUUACCUAAAUAUUCUCAUAACUCCCUGAUGGUUCAAGCAAUAAAGACAAACCUAACAGACCCGGACAUACAUGUGCUAUUCUUUGAUGUGGAAGCGUUGAUUAUUCAACUCCUGACUGAAGAAGCCUCUAGGCCGAAUACUGCUCUUAUUUCCCCAGAGAAUUUGCAAAAAGCAUCUGGCAGUUCAGACAAAGGGGGCUCUUUUUUAACUGGAAAACGAGCAGCAGUUCUCUUCCAACAAGUGAAAGAAACGAUCAAAGAGAACAUCAAGGAACACCUCCUUGAUGAUGAAGAGGAGGAUGAGGAGAUAAUGAGGCAGAGAAGGGAAGAAAGUGAUCCUGAAUAUCGGUCCAGCAAAUCAAAGCCAUUGACCCUAUUAGAAUAUAAUUUAACUAUGGACACUGCAAAGCUGUUUAUGUCUUGCCUUCACGCCUGGGGUUUAAAUGAAGUACUGGAUGAAGUUUGCCUGGAUCGCCUUGGAAUGCUGAAACCCCACUGCACAGUAUCGUUUGGCCUCUUGUCAAGAGGAGGCCAUAUGUCACUGAUGCUGCCGGGUUAUAAUCAGCCUGCUUGUAAACUGUCACACGGGAAAACAGAAGUAGGAAGGAAGCUGCCAGCGUCUGAGGGAGUAGGAAAGGGAACUUACGGAGUGUCCCGUGCCGUCACCACACAGCAUCUCCUGUCUAUCAUUUCUUUGGCAAAUACUUUAAUGAGUAUGACCAAUGCAACUUUUAUUGGUGAUCAUAUGAAGAAGGGUCC
rnacentral:sRNA from 1 species